AAAUAAGAAGCAAUUUUGCAUUUAAUUUCGACUUAAAAGAUUAGGAUUAAUAAUCCUCUUAUUUA
rnacentral:tRNA from 1 species